AGUCAACAUGCCCAAAGGACGUGGAUAACCUCGGGAAACUGAGGAUAAACCGCGAUAGGCCAAGGUUUCUGGAAUGAGCCCUGGCCGAAAUCUAUAUGGCCUUUGGAUUGGACUGCGGCCGAUCAGGCUGUUGGUGAGGUAAUGGCCCACCAAACCUGUAACCGGUACGGGCUUUGAGAGAAGGAGCCCGGAGAUGGGCACUGAGACAAGGGCCCAGGCCCUAUGGGGCGCAGCAGGCGCGAAACCUCUGCAAUAGGCGAAAGCCUGACAGGGUUACUCUGAGUGAUGCCCGCUAAGGGUAUCUUUUGGCACCUCUAAAAAUGGUGCAGAAUAAGGGGUGGGCAAGUCUGGUGUCAGCCGCCGCGGUAAUACCAGCACCCCGAGUUGUCGGGACGAUUAUUGGGCCUAAAGCAUCCGUAGCCUGUUCUGCAAGUCCUCCGUUAAAUCCACCUGCUCAACGGAUGGGCUGCGGAGGAUACCGCAGAGCUAGGAGGCGGGAGAGGCAAACGGUACUCAGUGGGUAGGGGUAAAAUCCAUUGAUCUACUGAAGACCACCAGUGGCGAAGGCGGUUCGCCAGAACGCGCUCGACGGUGAGGGAUGAAAGCUGGGGGAGCAAACCGGAUUAGAUACCCGGGUAGUCCCAGCUGUAAACGAUGCAGACUCGGUGAUGGGUUGGCCUCGAGCCAACCCAGUGCCGCAGGGAAGCCGUUAAGUCUGCCGCCUGGGGAGUACGGUCGCAAGACUGAAACUUAA
rnacentral:rRNA from 1 species